GGCCAUAUCACAUUGAUAAACUGGUUCUCGUACGAUCAUUGAAGUUAAGCAACGUCGAGACUGGUCCGUACCUAGAUGGGUGACUGCUUGGGAACACCAGGUUCUGUAAG